GACAGUCAUAUCACAGUGAAACACCGGUUCAAAAUAUAAUCAUCAAAGUUAAACCACAUUGAGCCUGGUCAGUACCUAGAUGGGUGACCACUUGGGAAUACCAGGUGCUGUAA